rnacentral:rRNA from 1 species
GAUGAACGCUGACAGAAUGCUUAACACAUGCAAGUCAUUGGCGAAGCUGCGCUUGCGCAGUCUAGCCAAGGCGGACGGGUGAGUAACGCGUAAGGAACUUGCCCUGCAGACAGGGAUAACAGACGGAAACGACUGAUAACACCUGGUAUUGUCAGGCUGGCGCAUGCCGGCCUGAUGAAAGGAGACGCUGCAGGAGAGCCUUGCGUCCUAUUAGCUAGUUGGUGGGGUAACGGCCCACCAAGGCGAUGAUAGGUAGCCGGCCUGAAAGGGUGAACGGCCACAAGGGGACUGAGAUACGGCCCUUACUCCUACGGGAGGCAGCAGUGGGGAAUAUUGGACAAUGGGGGCAACCCUGAUCCAGCAAUUCUGUGUGCACGAAGAAGGUUUUCGGAUUGUAAAGUGCUUUCAGCAGGGAAGAAGAAAGUGACGGUACCUGCAGAAGAAGCGACGGCUAAAUACGUG